AGAAACUUAGGUUAAAAUAUUAAACCAAGAGCCUUCAAAGCCCUAAAUAUGAGACCAAAACCUC
rnacentral:tRNA from 1 species